UACGGAGGGUGCAAGCGUUAGUCGGAAUUACUGGGCGUAAAGGGCGCGUAGGCGGCCGAUCAAGUCGGAGGUGAAAUCCCUCGGCUCAACUGAGGAAUUGCCUUCGAUACUGUUCGGCUUGAGUCCUGGAGAGGGUAGCGGAAUUCCCGGUGUAGCGGUGAAAUGCGUAGAGACCGGGAAGAACACCAGUGGCGAAGGCGGCUACCUGGACAGGUACUGACGCUGAAGCGCGAAAGCUUGGGGAGCAAACAGG
rnacentral:rRNA from 1 species